GUUACAGAGAGAAGAACUCCGUUUUAUUACUGUAAAUAUCACCAAGAAUAGAGUUUAAACCCAAAAACAAAGA